GACCCAAGUUCCUUGCAAGCUUUCUCUGUCAAAAUACAAAUGUAGUUUGUGCCAUACGAAGCAUCUGCAUCUCUUUUCUCCCCGUCACUAAGCGGUUUUAAAAGGUGAUAGAAUUUAGCCGACUGUCGACGUUUCAAUGACUAACAAUGCGGUCAGUAAAUUAAACAAACGUAUAACGUGCAAACUCACAUUACCGUCGAAAAAGUCCAGCAAACGUGUAAUUUUAAGUGUAUCGCUCUUUUAAAAGGAGUAUUUUAAAAGUACCAUAAAAGUGCUUAGGCACAGCCUUCGAUUUUGAUGUAAGUGUUGCUGAAGCGAUUCUAUGAACCUGGUAAUUUUCCACUGACCACAAAGGGGAGUGGCUGCGCUGGUGAACUAGAGCAGAGUAAUAGUACAGGCUGGGCACUUGGCACAAGGUUAAAACUUAACAAAUACAUCCUCGUUUUAUACAGGGGGUGAAGGAUGUUUUCACAUCCAAGCUUACUGAAAUGAGUGGUUGUUCAGUAACCCAGAACACCUUCACGAGGUCUGUCCGCCAUGUUCUGGGGAGAAGGAAACAUGGUAAUGAUUAUAAGGCAUAGUCUGCCUGCUUAGGUAGUAUGGCGAGCCAAAUUGCCUUUUAUUAGUAUAAGGCUGACCUGUCAUAACAUUAUUCAUUCUUACUAGUAAAAGUAACAUUCUUGUAAACCAGUCUAAUUUAAAACUAAGCAAGAAGGGAGAAUCUGGAAGUGCGCUCACUUGGGAAUAUGUUUCAGGUUGACAAUCCCCAUUGUUUUCUGCCUUUUUCCCUCUUGCUGGGUAUGAAUGGCAUAAUUUGAUGUCUUACAGGAUGCAGUCCCCUCCCUUCUGCCCCUUAUAUAACUUCAAAGUUCACAUUUGCAUGAAAUUACAAGAGCCCUGCAUUUUUGCAGCACAUCGUGUAGAUGUACAUUUUGCUGCAUGCGUGAUUGCAUGUGAUGUACAUUUUCAUGAGAAAUUAAACCAA